rnacentral:rRNA from 1 species
GUCCACGCCGUAAACGAUGGAUGCUAGCCGUUGGCAGGCUUGCCUGUCAGUGGCGCAGCUAACGCAUUAAGCAUCCCGCCUGGGGAGUACGGUCGCAAGAUUAAAACUCAAAGGAAUUGACGGGGGCCCGCACAAGCGGUGGAGCAUGUGGUUCAAUUCGAAGCAACGCGAAGAACCUUACCAACCUUUGACAUGUCCCGUAUGGGUUUCAGAGAUGAGAUCCUUCAGUUCGGCUGGCGGGAACACAGGUGCUGCAUGGCUGUCGU